UACGUAGGUGACCAGCGUUGUCCGGAUUUACUGGGCGUAAAGAGCGCGCAGGCGGUCGUUCAAGUCGAGUGUGAAAGCCCCCGGCUCAACUGGGGAGGGUCACUCGAUACUGAUCGACUUGAAGGCAGGAGAGGGAAGCGGAAUUCCCGGUGUAGUGGUGAAAUGCGUAGAUAUCGGGAGGAACACCAGUGGCGAAGGCGGCAUCCUGGACCAAUUCUGACGCUGAGGAGCGAAAGCCAGGGGAGCAAAGCGGG
rnacentral:rRNA from 1 species